rnacentral:rRNA from 1 species
UACGAAGGGGGGCUAGCGUUGCUCGGAAUCACUGGGCGUAAAGCGCACGUAGGCGGAUUGCUAAGUCAGGGGUGAAAUCCUGGAGCUCAACUCCAGAACUGCCUUUGAUACUGGCGAUCUCGAGUCCGGGAGAGGUGAGUGGAACUGCGAGUGUAGAGGUGAAAUUCGUAGAUAUUCGCAAGAACACCAGUGGCGAAGGCGGCUCACUGGCCCGGUACUGACGCUGAGGUGCGAAAGCGUGGAGG